GUGCUCACUUCAGCAGCACAUAUACUAGAACCAGAACCAUGCAGAACUUGCAAUGCUGUGCAAAUUCAUGAAACACUCCGUAUUUUU
rnacentral:snRNA from 1 species